CUGGGACCGGAGUUGGUAAGUCAGUUUAUGUGUCUCACACACUUGGAAAAAAUGCACGAGAUGUGAACAAUGCUGCAGUCUCUACAGUGUUUAUAAAACUGGCUCUGAGUUUGUCACUCUAGUUUCUGUCUUGCUUUUCUCUUCCUCUCCAACAUUCAGGUGGUACAAGAGUUCCCCCUGGAGGCUCUGGUGGUGAUGUCUCAAAUGGAGCAUUGCCUGGCGCCAAACCUCUCAAACCCCCAGGUGUCCCUCGAGGUGACACACCAGGUGAAGGAGAUGGAGAAGAUGGCCCCGAUGGAGAGAGAGGUGGUACAGGAGGCACAGGUGGAGGGCCAGGAGGAGUAGGAGGGGGACCUACCAGAGCAGGACCAGCAGGAGGUGUUUCUGGUGGUGCAACAGCAGUAGGAAGAGGAGACGGUCCUGCUACUGGAACUGGACUUGGAUCAGGAGGUGCAGCUGGUGGAGUAGGAGGAACACCAAAACCACCCAAAGAUGGGACUGUCGCAGGAGGUGUAAGCGCAGGACCUGGUGGAGCUGGUGGACUUGCAGGAGGAGUUGGGUCAGCUGGACGAGGUCCUGGAGGAGCAGGCCUGGUACCUGGGGCUGGUGGAGUAGGAACAGGAUUCGCAAAACCUGGAAAAAGCUAUGGUGCUUUUGGAGCUGGAGUUUCACCAGGCGGAGGCAUACGUUACCCAACAGGAGCUGGAGUAGGACAAGGAACAGGAAAACCAGGCAAAGCAUAUGGAACUCUCGGAGUAGGAGGACAGGGUGGGUUUGGACCUGGCGGAUAUGGAGCUGGUCCUGGUGGCUUUGGUACUGGUCCGGGAGGUUACGGAGUGGGACCCGGAGGUUACGGGGCUGGCCCAGGUGGUUAUGGAGCUGGACCUGGAGGCUAUGGAGGCACAACUGGAAGCAGAGGCAUCGGUGGUGGUCCUGGGGGUGUUGGGACUCUUGGAGUUGGAACUGGUCCAGGAGGUGUAGGUCCUGGCGGAGUUGGUGGCGGACUGGGUGGAUACGGUGGUGGUGUGGGGCCUGAUGGUUCUAGAUAUGGUACAGGUCCAGGACGGGGCACUGGGACUGGUGCUGGCAAACCACCAAAAAGUUAUGGAGCAGGAGCUGGUGGUACUGGUGUUGGACCUGGUGGCUAUGGCACUGGACCAGGUGGAGCUGGUUCUGGUCCAGGAGGUUUUGGACCAGGUGGCUUUGUGCCAGGCGGCCCUGGUGCUGGUACUUAUGGACCAGGUGGCACUGGUUCAGGUGGAUAUGGGGCCGGCACUGGAACUAGACCUGGUGGCUUUGGACCAGGUGGUGCCGGAACAGGAACAGGAGGCUUCGGAACAGGUGGUGCCGGAAUAGGAACAGGAGGCUUCGGACCAGGUGGUGUCGGAACAGGAACAGGAGCCUUCGGACCAGGUGGUGCCGGAACAGGAGGCUUCGGACCAGGUGGGGCUGGAACAGGAGGCUUCGGACCAGGUGGGGCUGGAACAGGAGGCUUUGGACCAGGUGGUGCCGGGGCUCAAGGACUGGGGACAAGAAAACCACCCAAAUCAGGUUAUGGAUCAUCCUCACUGGGUGGAGCUGGCUUUGGACCAGGUGCAGGAGUUGGACCUGGUGGAACAGGUACCGGACCUGGCAGAUAUGGGCCGGGUGGCUUCGGACCAGGUGGUACUGGCGUUGGAACGGGAGGCUUUGGACCAGGGGGUGCUGGCACAGGAACAGGUGGCUUUGGACCAGGUGGUGCUGGAGUAGGAGGGUUUGGACCUGGUGGUGCUGGAACAGGAACAGGAUUUGGACCAGGAAGUCAAGGAUCAGGAAAAAGAAAACCGUCUAAAUCCGGUUAUGGAACUGGUUAUGGUUCAGGAAGCUUAGGAGGAGUUGCAGGAACUGGCACUGGUGGAGCUGGAGCUAGAACUGGCGGCUUUGGUCCAGGAGGAGCUGGAACAGGUGGCUUCGGUCCAGGAGGAGCUGGAACGGGUGGCUUCGGUCCAGGAACUGGCGGUUUCGGUCCAGGAGGAGCUGGGACUGGCGGUUUCGGUCCAGGAGGAGCUGGGCGUGGUGGCUUCGGUCCAGGAGGAGCUGGAACGGGUGGCUUCGGUCCAGGAGGAGCUGGAACGGGUGGCUUCGGUCCAGAAACUGGCGGUUUCGGUCCAGGAGGAGCUGGGACUGGCGGUUUCGGUCCAGGAGGAGCUGGGACUGGUGGCUUCGGUCCAGGAGGAGCUGGGACUGGCGGUUUCGGUCCAGGAGGAGCUGGGACUGGCGGUUUCGGUCCAGGAGGUGCUGGAACUGGCAGUUUCGGUCCAGGAGGUGCUGGUGGAUAUGGACCUGGUGGCCAAACAAGAAAGCCUCCUAAAUCAGGUUAUGGCUCAUCGUUAGGUGGCACUGGCUAUGGACCAGGUGGUGUAGCAGGAGGCCUUCCUAGUACUGGAACAGUAGGAAUCAGUGGAGGCGGUCCAGGUGGUGUAGGAGGGCAGGCAGGAGGCCCUGGAGGACCAGGCCAGGGAGUAGGAGGAGGACCAGGUGGCUUACCAGGGGGUGCUGGCCCUGGUUUUGGAGGGGUGGCUGGUGGAGGCUAUCCAGGAUUUGCAGGGGCUGGGCAAAAAUCCAAGGCACAGAAGGCAGCCAAAUAUGCAGCCCUGCAGGCCCUACUUGGAUCUGGGGGCUACAGAGGUGCUGGCUGUCAGGGUAAAUUCUGUGGCCGAAGGAGGAAGUGAGCCACCAACAGACAUGAAGUGACCUCAUCAAUACAACAGUGGUGCUAUUGCAUGAUCCCAAACUGUAAAUGUCUUAUCUGCCAUGGAAGCUAAAGCUUCAACACAUUCCAAGUGUUACAUUUUUAUUUGCUUAGAUGUUGUACAAGGCUUACUGAGUAAGAAAAAUGGUUCUCAACCUGUUAGAAUCCUGAUUCCUGAAAGCAAGAUGCUGCAGACUGCUAUGCAGAUUGGAGGAUUUGUCACUGUCACAUUGAUUUUUUGGGGGGAUAAUUUGCAAAUUUGGCUUUGGUCAGAUAUAAAGUAUUCACAGUUUCUCAAGAAAAAACACAAAUUAGAGUCUGAAUUUCAAGAAUUAAGUUUCAAGAGUGACAAUAGGCUUGUUUAAGAUGGGACAAACUUGCGCUGAAUUGAUCAACACAGAUUGCUGCAUAAUGGAUGCUAGUUAUAUUUCCAUAUUGAUUCCAACUUGUUUUGAUGUCAGAAUGACACAGGCAAUAACAGCAUCAUGAGAUCAUGACAGAAAACAUCUGGCUUUCACCUGCUCCAUUAGCUGAUUGGUUCUAAUGUCGAGUCUACAAUAUGAAAUUUGAUAAUGAUAAGUUACAAGAGCGUUCAUGUAAAAAUGGAGGCUGAACCAAGAACAGAGGUUACAGAUGCCCUGUCAUAAUUAAAACUAUUUAAUGAAUCAACUAGUUUCUGUAACUUCCUGCUUUGACUGAAAGCUGCUGGAAACUGUCUUGACUGCUGACUUUUAACACUACCCCGUGCUGUUGCUAUCUGUUCCUGACUUCUGUUAGAACCGCAGUUGAUCUCAAAUGAGUCUAUUAUUCCAUCAGCAACACAACAACCAGCAAACUGGACACAAUGGAAUUCUUCAAGCUCUAGUUCUAAUUUGUUAACAUUUCUUAUAGUCCUAAUAUUCCCCAAUGAAUCACUUUGUAAGUCUCUGGGGAUCUUGACUACCAGGCUGAGAACCACUAAAAUGAAGGAUCUGUAUUUCUUUUUAUCAGUGAGGCCAACCUGCUCUAUACUACAGUUAUUGUUUUCUAUUGCUGCGUUGAAUAUCAUUUGUGUUCCAAUGCAAGUAUCACCAUGAAACCUCUGGGUUGAGACUGAUACCAAGGACUCCCUCAGGGCAGCUCCUUCAGACCUGUCUGCAUGCUGACACAAGGUUUAUGAAAAACGUCUCCAAGGCAACAUUUUUGUCCAGUUAGACUGGGUCGUUCUUUUGUCUACAGAUUUUAAAAUGUGCUAAUUCACUGUUUUUAGCUUGUACAUCAGUAGACGCUCUUGUGUAAUCUAUCAGCAAUGUGUAAUGACCAAGAAACAGAUGGCUGCUGUUCUGUGGAAUGAUGAACAAAAGAGACACUCAGUGGAGUCUUCUGUGGUUUGGUGUUUUGACUGGUCAUUAUCUCAUCCUUAAAAAGCAGCCUCUGUUCAUGUCAACUGUACUCAGGCCUCAGUAGUAUCAACCGUGGAGGCCUAAAAGUAUUUUGCUAACACUGGUGAGAUUCUUCCACUCUGUUCACAACAUUAAAGACACUGUUUUAUAGCUACGUAACACUAAGUGGUAAUAGUGUAAAGUUUUGGUUAACCUCCAUUUUGCUUUCAUUGUUAGAAGGAGAUAUUUGUUAUGAUAUAAUGAUGUGGCUUAGUUUUAGCUUUUACAUUUGCUGUUGAGGAAAGCAUUCAAGCUAAAUGUGAGGUAAUAUGACAAGAAUACAUGAGGAGUACUGAUUACUGUUUUUUUUUUUCUUUUGAUGUACCUCCUUUAACACUGUUGAAAAUUUGUUCACGUUUACCAGACUUUUUAAAUUAUGCUGGAUAAUAGGGAUCUAUUUAGUCUUAUUUUACAAAUUCAAGAGCAUUAAUACAGUAUUAAAUAUUUCAGCUAGUUAUUUUGUGUGUGAGUGUUUCAACAGUUAUUAAACGUGUGUACUACUAUGAUGAUAGAAGUGCUUUGUUUUCUACAUUGUCCUUGAAUGUGUGUUGAAUCACAAUGUAGUCUGUGAGGUCAUUAGGAUAAAAAAGUAUAACUGAAUCUUAUCUUGCAUUUGAGCUUAUGUUUGUGUUUAUCAUGCGGCUCAACAUGUGUUUUUAAUGUAUUUUUUAUGUGGCCUAUGAAGAAAAUAAUGCACUUUUGUACACUUUCUGACUAUGCUCUCUGAAGUAAAGAGAUGACCAAUGACAGUUGUUUCUGGGUAUUGUUAUUUUAGAGCUGGUAGACUUAUUUACAAUGUUACACAUCAAAUAUGAAACUGUAAACGCAGUAUUUGGCACAAGGCGAGAGGCUGAAGCUGCACAUUGAGAGGACGAUGUUGGUCUUAACAUGCUUGUCUGCGGUGGCUUCAAAAUAACCACAAGUUAGGCUGUAAAGAGAAAAAGGAAACAACAAACUGCUGCUUGUGCAGUGUUACAAAGUUAAAACAGCA
ensembl:lncRNA